GUCUAUGGCUGUACCACCCUGAAUGCACCCGAUCUCAUCUGAUCUCGGAAGCUAAGCAGGGUCGGGCCUGGUUAGUACUUGGAUGGGUGUAUAUGUAAUUGAGCUAAACAAAACACCUCUGUAGACC
rnacentral:rRNA from 1 species